GUUACAGGUGAGCAACCUGCCUUUUCCCUGCAGUUCUUUGUGUUUGAAUGUUCAGUAAGGUAAAAGGCAUUAUCUGGAGUAAAUGGGGCUAAGGUCAUUUAGGGCUUUACGUUGUGCUCCCAGACCAACUUAACAUUCUAACCAGUCUGUCUAAUCCUGACAGAAGUAUCUACAAAAUUGAUUGUGAACAAAUCUGUGUUUGAUUAUUUGAUUAUUGAUUAGUUUGAUUAUUGAUUACUAGUUUAACUACAUCAGCCCCUGUGUGCUAUCAUUUAUUUGCUCAGGUUUUAUGCAAAUUUAUUCUGCUAUUCCUAAUAGGGAGCAAAAGCAUGUCUGAAAAGCAUAGGUGCUAUAUAUAGAAAGGCAGGAUGUAUAUUUAAAUACAAGCAACAUAAGAAAAAUCAAAUUGAAGAGAUUACAUGAGGCUAUACUUUUGUGGGAAAGAGUAUUUUUAUAAGCUUGCUUUUAUAUGGGUCAGUAAGAUCAGGAAAUAAUCAAGUGACACAUUUACAAUGUUUUAUCUGGUUUUCCAGCAAUGCUAUUGGCCCUUUGGUGGCCCUCUGGCUGAUAUAUGAUCAAGGUGCCGUAAUGCAAGAAGCUCCUACUCCUGUUUGGCUGCUACUGUAUGGAGGUAUUGGCAUCUGUGUGGGCCUCUGGGUCUGGGGCCGAAGAGUGAUCCAGACAAUGGGAAAAGACCUCACACCCAUCACACCUUCAAGUGGAUUCACUAUUGAGUUGGCUUCGGCGUUCACAGUUGUGGUAGCUUCCAAUGUUGGACUUCCUGUCAGUACUACACAUUGCAAGUGGAUUUUGCAUUGAAGUAAUGUGUGCGCUAACCGUACUUGUAGCCUCAAAUGUGGGUAUUCCAAUAAGCUCCACUCAUUGCAAGGUAUUGGAGUUUGCAGUGGUCGUGCCAAUUAAACACACAGUAUUUUAAGAACAGAAAGGGACCAAUCAUAAGUAAUGAUUUCCCCAUUUUGCCUUCAGUUUAUCAAGCUGUUACUUUAAUUUAAAAAAAAAAACUCAAAAUACAGCAUUCUGAAUUACUUUCAAAAUUACUUUGAAAAAUCUGACUACUUUCCCCAAGCGUUAAGAUGCUAUUUUAUUUUUUAAUGAUUAUUAGGAUGGGUAGCUUAUUAUUCUAACUACUAUUUAUAAUUGUAGUAUUCAUGUUGUAGUUUAUUAACAAGUGACAAUCAUUUUAAAAUUUAGUAUUCUUGCUUAUAUGCAUUAAAUUUCUUUGUGCUAGCUUUGCACUAACAGUUUUAGACAUUUAAUUUUCCCCCAACAGAUUUGCACAGUUUGUCAUAUAGAACACUAGUAGAUUAUGGCAUGCAGAAUUUUAGCGAGCACCACAGAUACACUUCUGUAAAUGUCACAAGAAUGCUUGGUUCUGUAUCUCAGAGUCUGAAGGCAAAUGGUAUUUAGUUUUGAGUCAGUUGAAAAACAACUUGAAAACAAAUUGUUCUAGCUUUUUAACAACAAAUCAAAUUGCUUUUCUAACCUGUAUUUUCCUCAAAACUUAGUAUGCUAAACUUAGAUAAUGUUUAGAAAUGGGACUACCAAAGCCAGUUUCACUGAUGCCCUUUUUAAACUGGGAAAAUUUAUUAAAUAUAACACAGUAUAAGUUGUAUCUUUUUAAAUGAAUAAUUUUUAAAAUCAAUUUUAAAUAAAAUUAUAGUGCGUUUGUGUUCAAUUUAAAGCAGCAUUCCUCAUCCUUUUCACACCUGAAACUUAGUUUUAACUUCACUUAUAGCAUGGGACCCACAUUAUUUAUUUACGUAUUUAUUUGCUAUAUCUCAAUUUUCCCCUUUCUCAGAUUCGUUUCCUAGUUUCCCCUCUCAGAAACAACAAUAAUCCCAAAUGACAAAGUAGUGAUACUAGUGGUAUAACCCACCAGUUGGAAAAAUGUAAGGAAAUUUCAGAGCAGUUAAUGAGGCAGAAUGUUCGGAGAAAGCAGGAACAAAUAUUUGCAAGCUGAUAAAUGUAUGAAUAUAUCAUAUUCUCUUUUUAAAGAAAAUGACAAAAGAUUAUAGCUUGGACGGUUUUUUUGAUACUUUAUCAGUCAAGCAACUACCAUUUUCUGGUAUGAAAAAGAAUGGCAUAUGCUGUCCAAAGUCCAUGUAAGGAGUGCUCAGAAAUGAGAAAGUUACGGCAUGCAUUUCAGGGAGCAGAAAAAGCAGAGCACAGAAGCAAACAGUAGGGAUACAGAACCUGAGGCAAAGUACAAGAUAGCAAGCCUGCCACUAGUUGAGCCUCAUAUCAACACUGACAAUAGGACAAUGUCUUUUACUGCACCUGAGGGCAGCAGACUCCCAGGGGAGGAAUGCAGGGCAAGAUGCAUGGCAAACACAGUGUUUUCCUCCCAGCACCUUGUUCUGCGUAGCACCUGUUUGCUUAAACAAGUGUUGCAGCACCAGUACCAAUCUGUGUCAAGUGAGCAGCUUGAGGCACAUUCAGUUCGAGGGCAUUGGCCAAUUGCUUCUGGUUGUUAGCUCAGUCAAGGGUCUUUCUCAAAGCCAGCAUCUUCGGUGUGUUGGGGAAAAGGCAACUGACUGCCUUGGCUGCCUUGUCCAGCAGUAAGUAUGCAAGCACUGCCUGCAAUGAAGCACAAAAUCAGUAUCCAGAAGCCAGUUGCUGUCAUCCUUCGGCAUCUGCUGCCCAGUGCAGCUAAUCUCCUUCUGCCUAAUAGUUGGACUGGGUUGAUGGAUUCUCUGAGCUGUAUCCAAUAUUAGUUCUGCUUGGAGUAAACCCACUAAAAUGAAUGGCACUUCAGUGGACCAGUAUUGCAUACAGCCUGGGCUGGGACAUACUGCAUCAAGAAGAGAUGGUGUCAGUGGUAUUCAAACAACAUGCGUUGGUUUAAAGUAUGAAAGUUUGCAAGAAAUAUUUGUUAGCUCUUAGUAAGAUAACUGUCUGUCCCAUCUUUUUUCCUGCUGCAAGGAACCCACAAUGGCUUACAUGAUCUUCUCUCCAUUUUUUCCUCAAAACAGCAGUGUGAGGUUUGUUAGGCUGAGAGUCAGUGACUGGCCUAAAGUCCCCCAGUGAGUAGAAUGGCUAGCUGAGGACUAGAACCUGGCGUCCCCAAAUCUCAGUUCCACACUCAAAUGCUAUCCCACAACUGACCCUCUGAGAUCCCAAAGAGUUCACAGGGGGUGGGGAAUGUUUUUCUUCUUGCAACACCUGCUCAUGAUUCCUGGAGUGUCUGUCUGGCAGCAGUGCUGAUCAUCAGGCAGUCAUAAUUAGAUGUCAUGGAGGCUGUAGAAAAAGAGCUAAGAAACCCUGUGUACAUGCAGUAAUGAAAAGCCCAUUUAAACUGAAGCAAACACAUCAUUUAUAGGGACAGAUUUUUUUUGCCAGUAAUUGCUUUCUAAUAACUUUUGUCAAACUCAUGAAUUUUGGAAUUGGUUUGAUCAGAGAUGGUCUUAUGACUAGAAUAUUUAAGGCUAACUGGAUUGAAUUAGUCUGUUGGAACAUUACAUCUCAGGAAUCUAUCUGACUUGAUCUUUAAAUGUACUGUUCUACAGAGAGAACAUACUGUACAUGUGAAAUAGGUGUUUCCAGAAUAGAAUAGGGCAGUGGACAUUUAUUAUUACAAGAAAGUUUAAAUUUUUUGUGUUCCUUCUGGGGAGGGGUCAUGGUAUAGUAGUAAAACCAAAAGUUUUGUAUGCAGGUGGCCCUCUGACCUUUCCAGUUAAAUAUGGGCUUGGGUUGCAGGGCUGGAAAAGCCCUCUCUCUAUUUGAGAAAUUGAAGAACUGCUGCCAGCCUGACUAGAUAUAUUGAACUAGAUGGACCAGUAGCUGAGUUGGUAUAAGGCAGUUUUUCAUAUGUGAGUAUGACACACAGGAUUACACAGUGGGGAAAAGACUAGAUAUGUUGUUUCAGAUUAUUCUGUCAUAAAGAAUCUGAUACAAUAACUUUAGUCAGUACACCAUAGCCAACAUUCUGGACAGGAUCAGAAUUUGAACCAUUCUUAUUAAGUGCCCUUCCUUUCACAAAUGACUUCCUCUGAUACUUAGAGGAGCUCUACAUUAGCUCCUAAUGUUUUGCAGGAAGAGGAAUGUGAAAUUGUUUAGCCUAUCUUUAGGAAAGAUGGCUGCCUUGAAGUUACUGCACUUUUGUCUUGGUAGUAUGAAUAGCAGUCUUAAUGGCACUUAAGAGAGAAAUUAGGUUAAGCACAUGGGAAUGGUUAGUUCUCAUGUAGGAUUAAUCAUAAUCAAAUAUGGAGCUGAGCAUUUAGGACUGGAAAAGAUAAGUGGUUAUUGGUGUUGUUAUUUGCCCUCAUCCAGUGAUAACUUCAGGCAAUUCCUAAGUUGGCAAUGAUCAGAACAGGAAACACUUUUAUAAACUAGCCUUUCUGGCACAUCUGAGGUAAUACAAGAAGAGUACCAAUGAUGAGCUUUCUAGCUUCUAAAAAUAAUCUUACUCUUGCAAGGGUAUGAGUGCUGCAUAGGCUUUGUACCUAAGUGAAUCUUGAUUCAAAAUUCCAAAAAACUGUUCUUCACUUUCGGAAUCUAGCUCUGCCACCCAUUUACUACAUUUUGUCCGAGAGAUGCUUGGCACUUCCAUUUACAGAUGCAUUCAAAGGACAGAAUGUUUUACUUGAUACCCUUACUUGCAGAAAGCAUUGUUUACUGCAACUGGUAUAAGGUCUUUAACUACAGAGAAAUAUCAGUCAAAGCUAGAAAAAACUACUGCCAUAGAAUCUAAAUGUUGCAAGGCACUUCCUAAAUUCCAAAUAGAUACAGUCCUCCUACUCCUUCACAAAUGGUUCCUCACCUGUGUGAAAAUGAAGCAGGAAUUCAGAUUUCAAUAGUUAGCAGUAAUCAGAAGUUGUGUAAUUCUGGGCAUCAGCUGACUAGCAUUGGUUUUGUCAUAGACAGGAGUCCACAAAUGUCUUUGCUAGGUUGCCAGUAGCUGGUGUCAAUCUUCUAGUAUCCAUUGGGUGUCCAGUAGAAAGUGAGAGGCUUUAUUGUCAAAGAAAACUGGAAGCUGGGACAUUACAUUUUAUACCACACAGAAAUUCAUAUAACUCAGUAUGGCAUAAGUCACUGAAGUGAUCAGCCUUGUUUCAUGCCAGGCUUUGGUGACAUGUGCUAUUUUUGAGUGCUUUCAAACACUGAUGUGGAGACUGACCAAGCCCUUUCCACUGAAUCAUCUGCAUGUGCCGGAGAGCUAAUUGGGCAGGGGAAGAUAGAGGAUUACCUGAAAUAAUGGCUGACUACUAAAGGCAAGCAAAAUUUAUGGACUCCUGGUCAUAAGCAUUACUCUUGUUAAGAAGCAUUUAAUUCUAACUUUUUUUCCUCAAACUUCCAAGGUUGGUUCUGUGGUAGCAGUUGGCUGGAUCCGCUCCAAGAAGGCUGUUGACUGGCAUCUCUUUCGCAAUAUCUUUCUAGCCUGGUUUGUGACUGUUCCUGUAGCUGGCUUAUUCAGUGCUGCUGUUAUGGCAGUCUUAAUGUAUGGUAUCCUGCCAUAUGUCUGAUCUGGUGUUCCUUCCAGGAAACAAGGGAGUCUCUCUUUGAAAUAAAACGGCAAGAUUUCUCCCUCAUAGUACAACACUCCCUGUUCAAACCAUACUGUAAGAGCUAAUCAGCGAGGCUUUAUCUUCAGUAUCUAACAUCUACUGUAUAUCAUCAGUGUCACUGGUUAAUUUUAACACUUUGGUGCCGUUUUCUUAUGUAUUAAAGAAAUAUAUAUAUAUGCUUAUAGUAGAUAACACUACCGUAAAUUAUAAGUAACAUGAAAAUAAUUGCCUGGAAGUGAAUCUCUAGUAAAACUUGUACAUAAUGUAUCAUUUAGUGGCAUUUUUAAUCUUUUAGAGAAGCUGGGAUGUUUGUCAAUUUCAUAUAUAAUGAAGCAAAGUGCAAAAUGGUUAUGAUACUUUUAAAAAAUAUUAUGUUUAAUGAUACUAGAACAAAGCACUGCAGAGUACAGUGGGAAAAACAUGAUUCAUAUCAUAUUGUUGCUUAUAAUACUGUAUGGACAUUGAUUUUAUAAAUACUUACAAAAAUGUAGCUUUUUAACAGUGUAUUUCCCUGUAUAUUUUGGAUAAGAAUGUUUAGAAAGUACCAAAGAAUGGGAAUAGCUUGUCAGUAUUAUAUUGUUUAUCUGUGUGUGUGUGUGUGUGUGUGUGUGCAUGUGUGCACUUUUUCUCUCCUCCCCAAAUAACUUUCCAAUAAAAGUUAUUUUCUAUGCAUUGGCCACCGACAUAGAUUUCAGUUUUACUGUAACUAGCAAAGUGUCAUACUGUUACAGUCUAUUUAUCGAAUGUUAUCCAUAUAGAUAAACCUAGUUUCCAUAUGUGUCACACCUCAGAUUUCUUCAAACAAGUGCCCAUCAUCCUAUAUGAUUCCAGUUCUACUUGCACAACAUCCAUCUAUUAGCAAGUUCAGGAGAAGGUGAGGAUUGAGGCUGUUUUGCUUUGCUUCUGUUGCCUCCAGUAAGUCUCAACUAUACAAUGUCAACUGAAGAAUGAUACACUGCAUAUUGGUGGUGGCAACAGGGGUCAAGUUAGGCUAGUUUGGGUUUUUAAUUAGUAGUCAAAAUGUUUGAACUGGCUGUUUAAAAUUGUCAUACAAAUAACUGUUUAAAGGAGGAACAAAAAUAAGAGCCACUACUGAUACCAAACUUGAGCAGGUUGAUAGCUGCUGAAGCAUGGCUCUUUCCUUAAUCCUGUGACUCAGUAAUAUUAUAUAAUAAGUCUGAGGCCAUGUCAAAGAAUCCAGACUUCUGCUUUUAAGGUGAACAUUGCUGUAGUUCAGUGCUGACAUGGGAAGGAGCUGCAGCAUGAGCUCUUAACAGUGUCACUUGGGAUGUAGGAUGCUACCAAGGAUGGCUGAUUGGAAAGAAUGCAGUAGCUUCUGCGUUGCUAAAAUUAUUACAGAGAGACCUUUUACCUCUUUAUGAAGAGGCAUCCUAGUCUGCCAGUCCCGUGUACUUUAUAAGCUGAAUGUACCAUGCUACUGAACAGGCCUAAUGGUUUUUGGCCUUAGAACUUCAAUUUUCUGUAAUUCUUUGGCUAUCCACCUGAUAAAGUGUUUCCCUUGUUAUAUAAAGAGCCUGGCAGAUACCUGGUGGAAUCCAGUUUCUGUUGCCAUGGAAACCUUGAGCACAGACUUCUAGUAAGUUCUCUUGCACAAGUCAUAUCGAAAUUUUGCUAUUGUAUAGCUCCUGUUUGUUUCCUUUGUGCAGGAGUAUUUCCCAAAAAAUUGCUUCUUGGCAUUUGAAUAAUUAUUAUUGUGGUGGUGCUCUGGUUGGGUUUCCUGGAGGUGGUUUGAGAAAGCAGUGCUUACAAAAUGCUGGGAGCUAGGACUGUUGAAAUGCUGCUAAACUUUUGAUACAUGAGCUUUCUUGGUACUCCAUUGUGAUUCUUUUUCAUUGGUAAAACAUUCUAAAUUUAUAAUAAAAAUUAAUUAUCCUAGGA